GGCCACUUGGCGGAGUGGUUACGCAGCGGCCUGCAAAGCCGUGGACGCCAGUUCGAAUCUGGCAGUGGCCUCCA
rnacentral:tRNA from 6 species